rfam:Capsicum annuum cultivar Zunla-1 chromosome 9, whole genome shotgun sequence
AGGGAUGUGGCGCAACUUGGUAGCGCGUUUGUUUUGGGUAAAAAAAUGUCACGGGUUCAAAUCCUGUCAUCCCUA